AGAAGACGGCACUUUGGAAGAUGGCAGUUUGGACAGGCAGUUUGGACAGGCAGUUUGGAAGACGGCAGUUUGGAAGAUGUUGCAGUACAUGGGGGUGUGGAUAUUCAGGCCCUGGGCCUUGCCUGGCGACGACCUCCUGACCUCAAGGCCACCGUCAAUCUUCAGAGAGCCGUCCUUGUCGAGGCGCCCGGCUUCCAAGCGGUGCCACUGGCCCUGGGUGACCGGCUCAGGACUGCGCAGGACAGCUUGGCCUGGAAACAAAGACAGUAGCAUGAUUUCCACUAUCACACUGUCUGAGCACGGCAGUGCUUGCUAAUGCCUUGCUAGUUUCCUUUUCCACUGUUUUGUUGAUGCCUGAGAGGAGCUACGUGUGAAAACGAGGCCAAUGAAACAGCGGAGAUAUCUAGAGACAAUGAUUAGAGACAAUGAGACAAUCUAGAGACAAUGAUUAUAUAGGUCAACAGUUACAGGUGACUCAAUCUAUUAGUUAAAGGAAUUCUUCAGGAUUUUGGCAAUGAUUAACUCUUGGAUACCAUUUUAUGUCUCUGUGUCAAGUAUGAAGUAAGUUAGAGGUAGUUUCGCGAGCAAACACUAACUAGCAUUUACGCAAUGACUGGAAUUCUAUGGUAUCUCCUAGCAUGCUAGCAGAUACCAUAGCGCAAUGACUGGGCAAUGACUACCAGUUAAUUAGCUAAUUGGCUAAUUAGCAAUUGUGCUAGCAACUUCAUUCAAACUGCAAGCAGAGACAUAAACAUGCUAUUCAUGAGUUCAUCUGACUCUGGGGAAGUAGAUAAAGCGCCUCAUUGCCAAAAUCUAGGGCACAACAAUAAACAGCUUUGAGCUCGAAAACGAAAAGGUAACAGUUGUAGAGGAUACAGCAGAUUGAGUAGCUAUCAUAGUAUAACAGUAAUAUAUCAGGGCCUCUCACCCACAUCAAUAAAUAUAAUUAAUAAUAAAACUCCUUAUUGUGUA